UGCAAACUGCGAAUACCGGAGAAUGUUAUCACGGGAGACACACGGCGGGUGCUAACGUCCGUCGUGAAGAGGGAAACAACCCAGACCGCCAGCUAAGGUCCCAAAGUCAUGGUUAAGUGGGAAACGAUGUGGGAAGGCCCAGACAGCCAGGAUGUUGGCUUAGAAGCAGCCAUCAUUUAAAGAAAGCGUAAUAGCUCACUGGUCGAGUCGGCCUGCGCGGAAGAUGUAACGGGGCUAAACCAUGCACCGAAGCUGCGGCAGCGACACUGUGUGUUGUUGGGUAGGGGAGCGUUCUGUAAGCCUGUGAAGGUGGCCUGUGAGGGUUGCUGGAGGUAUCAGAAGUGCGAAUGCUGACAUAAGUAACGAUAAAGCGGGUGAAAAGCCCGCUCGCCGGAAGACCAAGGGUUCCUGUCCAACGUUAAUCGGGGCAGGGUGAGUCGACCCCUAAGGCGAGGCCGAAAGGCGUAGUCGAUGGGAAACGGGUUAAUAUUCCCGUACUUGGUGUUACUGCGAAGGGGGGACGGAGAAGGCUAUGUUGGCCGGGCGACGGUUGUCCCGGUUUAAGCGUGUAGGUGUGUGUUCCAGGUAAAUCCGGUUCACUUUAACACUGAGGCGUGACGACGAGGCACUACGGUGCUGAAGCAACAAAUGCCCUGCUUCCAGGAAAAGCCUCUAAGCAUCAGGUAACAUCAAAUCGUACCCCAAACCGACACAGGUGGUCAGGUAGAGAAUACCAAGGCGCUUGAGAGAACUCGGGUGAAGGAACUAGGCAAAAUGGUGCCGUAACUUCGGGAGAAGGCACGCUGACACGUAGGUGAAGUGAUUUACUCACGGAGCUGAAGUCAGUCGAAGAUACCAGCUGGCUGCAACUGUUUAUUAAAAACACAGCACUGUGCAAACACGAAAGUGGACGUAUACGGUGUGACGCCUGCCCGGUGCCGGAAGGUUAAUUGAUGGGGUCAGCGCAAGCGAAGCUCCUGAUCGAAGCCCCGGUAAACGGCGGCCGUAACUAUAACGGUCCUAAGGUAGCGAAAUUCCUUGUCGGGUAAGUUCCGACCUGCACGAAUGGCGUAAUGAUGGCCAGGCUGUCUCCACCCGAGACUCAGUGAAAUUGAACUCGCUGUGAAGAUGCAGUGUACCCGCGGCAAGACGGAAAGACCCCGUGAACCUUUACUAUAGCUUGACACUGAACAUUGAGCCUUGAUGUGUAGGAUAGGUGGGAGGCUUU
rnacentral:rRNA from 1 species